GAAAGCAGAGAGUUAAUUUACAAAUGCCUC
rnacentral:piRNA from 1 species